rnacentral:rRNA from 1 species
CUACGGAGGGGGCUAGCGUUGUUCGGAAUUACUGGGCGUAAAGCGCACGUAGGCGGACUGGAAAGUUGGGGGUGAAAUCCCGGGGCUCAACCCCGGAACUGCCUCCAAAACUUCCAAUCUAGAGAUCGAGAGAGGUGAGUGGAAUUCCAAGUGUAGAGGUGAAAUUCGUAGAUAUUUGGAGGAACACCAGUGGCGAAGGCGGCUCACUGGCUCGAUACUGACGCUGAGGUGCGAAAGCGUGGGGAGCAAACAGGAUUAGAAACCCGUGUAGUCC